ACACACACACACACACACACCUGCAGCCCAGGUUUCAGAGCCGUGCAGAUCUGUGAUUGGAAAUGAGGUGACUAAUUAGUCAAACCUGCUCUACCGCUCCCUUACUGCUCAGAUUUACCCCCCCUCCCAGCCCCCCUCUGUGCGGUGGACUGGAUUACUUUCGGUGUCGGAGCAGAAGCCAGGCGUCACGUCGGGGAUUCAUUCCAGAACAAACACCCACCUCUAAGUCGUCGAGGGAGGAGAAAAGGGUCCUGAUGAUCCAGUAUCUCCACUGAAGAUGUCUGGAGGACAUUUGGGGGAUUUUCAGUACAACUCAGCCGAUGCAGAGGCGACAGCAAGUCUCCACGCCGUAAACCGAUCCGCAUCGCAGAGAGCGGGAGAGGAUUCCUGAUAUGGAUCUACCUCAGAGAGCCAGCCAAACAAAGCCUCACCUGUUUUCAGCUCCCUGCUUCGUUCCUCCUCCACCACCUCCUCCACCUGCUCCUCCACCUCCUCCUUCGCCAGACUUAUGAAUCCACUUUGUCAGUUGGUGCCUUCUCUCCUCUGGUUGUUUGAUACACAGAAAUACCUGUUAGUAGCUGUCCCUCCUUCCUCCCAAAUACCUCCACCCUCCCUCCUCCUCCGGAACUGAAAUCUCCCCUUUUACCCUCCUCCAUUUCGGGUCCCAAAUCAGGGCCCCCGGGGCAGAUCCCAGACAUGAAAGUUAGCAUUGAGGAGCCGAGUGUCCGAUAUCAGUUAAUGUGAGAUACAACUAAUUAGUCCAUUAUCGGGCCCCCGCUCUCA